rnacentral:rRNA from 1 species
UUAGUGGCGGACGGGUGAGUAACACGUGGGAACGUGCCCUUUGGUUCGGAACAACUCAGGGAAACUUGAGCUAAUACCGGAUGUGCCCUUCGGGGAAAGAUUUAUCGCCAUUGGAGCGGCCCGCGUCUGAUUAGCUAGUUGGUGAGGUAAAGGCUCACCAAGGCUUCGAUCAGUAGCUGGUCUGAGAGGAUGAUCAGCCACACUGGGACUGAGACACGGCCCAG